UGGCCGCAAAGUGUGCCGGAGCUCUGUC
rnacentral:sRNA from 1 species